rnacentral:rRNA from 1 species
GAUGAACGCUGGCGGCGUGCCUAAUACAUGCAAGUCGAGCGAACAGAUAAGGAGCUUGCUCCUUUUACGUUAGCGGCGGACGGGUGAGUAACACGUGGAUAACCUAUCUAUAAGACUGGGAUAACUUCGGGAAACCGGAGCUAAUACCGGAUAACCUAUUGAACCGCAUGGUUCAAUAGUGAAAGGCGGCUUUGCUGUCACUUAUAGAUGGAUCCGCGCCGUAUUAGCUAGUUGGUACGGUAACGGCUUACCAAGGCAACGAUACGUAGCCGACCUGAGAGGGUGAUCGGCCACACUGGAACUGAGACACGGUCCAGACUCCUACGGGAGGCAGCAGUAGGGAAUCUUCCGCAAUGGGCGAAAGCCUGACGGAGCAACGCCGCGUGAGUGAUGAAGGUCUUCGGAUCGUAAAACUCUGUUAUCAGGGAAGAACAAAUGUGUAAGUAACUGUGCACAUCUUGACGGUACCUGAUCAGAAAGCCACGGCUAACUACGUG